CCUACGGGAGGCAGCAGUGAGGAAUAUUGGUCAAUGGCCGUAAGGCUGAACCAGCCAAUUCGCGUGAAGGAAGAAGGAUCUAUGGUUUUUAAACUUCUUUUAUAGGGGAAUAAAGGUAUCCACGUGUGGAUAUUUGCAUGUACCCUAUGAAUAAGCAUCGGCUAACUCCGUGCCAGCAGCCGCGGUAAGACGGAGGAUGCGAGCGUUAUCCGAAUUUAUUUGGUGUAACGGGUGCGUAGGUUGUUUUUUAAGUGAGCGGUGAAAGUUUGUGGCUCAACCAUAAAAGUGCCGUUGAAACUGGAAGACUUGAGUGUGUUUGAGGUAGGCGGAAUG
rnacentral:rRNA from 1 species